GAUGAACGCUGGCGGCGUGCCUAAUACAUGCCAGUCGAGCGGACGGACGAGAAGCUUGCUUCUCUGAUGUUAGCGGCGGACGGGUGAGUAACACGUGGAUAACCUACCUAUAAGACUGGGAUAACUUCGGGAAACCGGAGCUAAUACCGGAUGAUAUUUUGAACCGCAUGGUUCAAAAGUGAAAGACGGUCUUGCUGUCACUUAUAGAUGGAUCCGCGCUGCAUUAGCUAGUUGGUAAGGUAACGGCUUACCAAGGCAACGAUGCAUAGCCGACCUGAGAGGGUGAUCGGCCACACUGGAACUGAGACACGGUCCAGACUCCUACGGGAGGCAGCAGUAGGGAAUCUUCCGCAAUGGGCGAAAGCCUGACGGAGCAACGCCGCGUGAGUGAUGAAGGUCUCCGGAUCGUAAAACUCUGUUAUUAGGGAAGAACAUAUGUGUAAGUAACUGUGCACAUCUUGACGGUAACUAAUCAGAAAGCCACGGCUAACUACGUG
rnacentral:rRNA from 1 species